ensembl:lncRNA
UAGUGCACUAGGGGCCUGGUAGAAAGUAGUGCACUAGGGGCCUGGUUAAAGUAGUGCACUAGGGGCCUGGUAGAAAGUAGUGCACUAGGGGCCUGGUUAAAGUAGUGCACUAGGGGCCUGGUAGAAAGUAGUGCACUAGGGUCCUGGUUAAAGUAGUGCACUAGGGGCCUGGUAGAAAGUAGUGCACUAGGGGCCUGGUUAAAGUAGUGCACUAGGGGCCUGGUAGAAAUAGUGCACUAGGGGCCUGGUUAAAGUAGUGCACUAGGGGCCUGGUAGAAAGUAGUGCACUAGGGUCCUGGUUAAAGUAGUGCACUAGGGGCCUGGUAGAAAGUAGUGCACUAGGGUCCUGGUUAAAGUAGUGCACUAGGGGCCUGGUAGAAAUUAGUGCACUAGGGUCCUGGUAGAAAGUAGUGCACUAGGGUCCUGGUAGAAAGUAGUGCACUAGGGUCCUGGUAGAAAGUAGUGCACUAGGGUCCUGGUAGAAAGUAGUGCACUAGGGUCCUGGUAGAAAGUAGUGCACUAGGGGCCUGGUAGAAAGUAGUGCACGAUUAACGGAAUAUGGUGCCAUUUGUGACUCAUGCUACAUGUGCCGAUGUCUCUUUAGAUAAAUAUCUUAUAUUUUUACAACAUGUCCUUUGUUGUCCAAUGGGACGAUGAUGAACUAGUUCUGCAUGUUACCACAUGUCCAUUAUUAUCCAAUGGAACGAUGAUGAACUAGUUCUGCAUGUUACCACAUGUCCAUUAUUAUCCAAUGGAACGAUGAUGAACUAGUUCUGCAUGUUACCACAUGUCCAUUAUUAUCCAAUGGAACGAUGAUGAACUAGUUCUGCAUGUUACCACAUGUCCAUUAUUAUCCAAUGGGACGAUGAUGAACUAGUUCUGCAUGUUACCACAUGUCCAUUAUUAUCCAAUGGAACGAUGAUGAACUAGUUCUGCAUGUUACCACAUGUCCAUUAUUAUCCAAUGGGACGAUGAUGAUCUGGUUCUGCAUGUUUCCAAACAGGGAAAGAGAAACUGUAGAUAACUGCCAUGAUUAAAACAGUCAUGAGAUGUUCAGGGGUUAUUUCAGGUCAGACUCACUAGAUGGUGACUAUAGUAGCUGCUGUUAUUUGUCCUGUUUCACACUUGUCCAGGUGUUUCACACAUAUCCCAACACCCACAGAGAGCUGGGGUCUUUAGACAGGGUCAGACAUUAUCAACACCCACAGAGAGCUGGGGUCUUUAGACAGGGUCAGACCAGACAUUAUCCACACCCACAGAGAGCUGGGGUCUUUAGACAGGGUCAGACAUUAUCAACACCCACAGAGAGCUGGGGUCUUUAGACAGGGUCAGACAUUAUCAACACCCACAGAGAGCUGGGGCUUUAGACAGGGUCAGACAUUAUCAACACCCACAGAGAGCUGGGGUCUUUAGACAGGGUCAGACAUUAUCAACACCCACAGAGAGCUGGGGUCUUUAGACAGGGUCAGACAUUAUCAA